rnacentral:lncRNA from 1 species
GAGGCUUUCCUCAGGGAAGACUUUUUACAUAAAACAGAUUGUACUUUGUCCUUGCCAGGGCAGACAAAGGUUUAAAUUAAAUAUGCAGCAAGCUCCAGUUGGCUGCCUGCCACAACCCCGAGGGAUUUUCAGCAAAUGCCCUAACCCUCUCUGUAGGGGGCUCACGUUCGCCAUUUCCAGGGCAUGACUUCUUCACCUCAUCUAUGUGUGAUCCAUCCUUGACAUUCCUGGGGUGACUGGGUGUGUGAAGCUCUAACUCCACCUCCACCCCACCCCCACUCCAGACCUCUUGGACCAGCCAGCCAUAUUAUCAGGGGACGUAAUUAAUGACAUUUGACCUUGCAUCCCAGUUGGAGAGCAUUCAUGCCUUACCUUCAUCCUUCAUCAAACAGCUCAAGCCAGUUGCUACUAGAGUUGAGGGUCCCUAGGGUGGAGUAGACAUCGUUCUCUUUUUAUGCUUUUAAAUAUUGGUAAGUGCCCUGAACUAGUCUUAGGUCAACUUGACACAAGCUAGAGUCACCUGAAAGGAGGGAAUUUCUAUUGAGGAAAUGCCUCCAUGAGAUCCAGCUAUA